UCUGGGAGAAAAGACCCACAAUCCCCAUCCUCAAUAGUUUUGCCCAUUACUGUCAAAUCAUCCCGGGAGGGAGGAGGAAAAGGAAAAAAAAAAAAAAAAAAAAAGCCAGCAGUGUAAACAGGAAAUUUGGAAGCUUACUCGGCAGCCUCUCUCCCCGGCCAGGCCCCGGGCCCCAGGCCGGGACCCCCGUUGUAGAGCCGCUAAGUUGGAAGAUAGCAUUUUAAUUCAGACGCUCGUCCUCUACCCCAAGGUGCCAGCGUCCUGACGUACUUCUAUCGCUAGCUGCAGGAGUAAUCGUAAAAUGGAAAAAGUAGCACUGACUGAACCCACAUCAGAAAGUACGAAUCAAACAUAAAUAGAAAAAAAAAUCAAUUCUGGUUAUGUCACAGCAAGAUAUCUGGUGGGUCUUCUAGAGAAUCUUCACUAAACAAAUGCAUUUUCUUGGGUGUACCUUGUGUUGCUCUUGCCCCCGCCGUGUGCGCUGGUAUCGAGGCGGUCGUUGCUGAAAGCCUCAGCCUUGACCCCCGCCAGGGAUCCGAGCUGAUGUGAGGGAUGCCUUCUUCAUCACUGAAGCUGAGCUUUGCUUAAACGUCCACCGCGCCCUGCCUGCUGUUAAUCUCCGAGACCACAUCCACCCCUGGGAGAGAGUUAGUGUCUUUUGUUUUCACUGCCCACGUCCACUCCAGCCUUCGGCUUGGGAGCUCUAACCCUCCUCCACGUUCAGCCGUGAACUUCCCUUGGAAGAUGACUUAGCGGGGUCCAGUUAGCGUAUAGCACCGUCCUAGCGACAGUGACUGGUCAGGGGUGGGUCUGCGGCCAAAUCAAGACCAUGAAGGGUAAAGAGAUUUGAUUUUAAAGUGUUUCCGUUCAACGUUUUGGAAAGAGAAUUUCCUCUUGCGCUGGAUGGGGUCUUGCGGUGAUGUGCACCUGAAGCUGCCGAGAGCCACCAGGCAAAGCUUGGAAACGUAGCCCGUCCAGGGGGAGCGGAGCGGAGAGACGGGUCCUCACGUUAGCCUUGAAUUCUUGAAUGAGGCCGCUGGUGCAGCCAGCCUUACCUAGAGGUUUCAUAAUCACAGGAGCCACCACCUUCUCCUCUCUGCUUAGAUUGACUUGAGCUUUUUUUUUUUUUUUUAAAUAAAUUUAUUUCUUAUUGGUGUUCA
rnacentral:lncRNA from 12 species